AUUGAACGCUGGCGGCAGGCCUAACACAUGCAAGUCGAACGGUAACAGGAAGCAGCUUGCUGCUUUGCUGACGAGUGGCGGACGGGUGAGUAAUGUCUGAGAAACUGCCCGAUGGAGGGGGAUAACUACUGGAAGCGGUAGCUAAUACCGCAUAACGUCGCAAGACCAAAGAGGGGGACCUUAGGGCCUCUUGCCAUCGGAUGUGCCCAGAUGGGAUUAGCUAGUAGGUGGGGUAACGGCUCACCUAGGCGACGAUCCCUAGCUGGUCUGAGAGGAUGACCAGCCACACUGGAACUGAGACACGGUCCAGACUCCUACGGGAGGCAGCAGUGGGGAAUAUUGCACAAUGGGCGCAAGCCUGAUGCAGCCAUGCCGCGUGUAUGAAGAAGGCCUUCGGGUUGUAAAGUACUUUCAGCGGGGAGGAAGGGAGUAAAGUUAAUACCUUUGCUCAUUGACGUUACCCGCAGAAGAAGCACCGGCUAACUCCGUG
rnacentral:rRNA from 1 species